rnacentral:lncRNA from 1 species
CCUUUCUUCUGGCUUUUUGAUGAUAUGUUUUCUGUUUUUCUUGCUAGGUACUCAUGCGAGCACUAAGAGACUUCAAUAUGCCUAAAAUAGUGACCGAGGAUGUCCCAGUGUUUCUGGGCCUUGUUGGCGACCUGUUUCCAGCUCUAGAUGUGCCACGGGGGAGGAAGCAGCACUUGGAACAGAUGGUCAGGCAGUCCACCUUGGAGCUCCGCCUGCAGCCCGAGGAGAGCUUCAUUCUCAAAGUGGUCCAGCUCGAGGAGCUGCUGGCCAUACGGCACUGUGUCUUUGUGGUUGGAAACGCGGGCACAGGGAAGAGUAAGGUACGGUGACCAGGCCGACCCCUUUCA